AUUGAACGCUGGCGGCAUGCUUUACACAUGCGAGUCGAACGGCAGCGCGGGCUUCGGCCUGGCGGCGAGUGGCGAACGGGUGAGUAAUACAUCGGAACGUGCCCAGUAGUGGGGGAUAGCUCGGCGAAAGCCGGAUUAAUACCGCAUACGACCUGAGGGUGAAAGCGGGGGAUCUUCGGACCUCGCGCUAUUGGAGCGGCCGAUGGCAGAUUAGCUAGUUGGUGGGGUAAAGGCCUACCAAGGCGACGAUCUGUAGCUGGUCUGAGAGGACGACCAGCCACACUGGGGCUGAGACGCGGCCCAGACUCCUACGGGAGGCAGCAGUGGGGAAUUUUGGACAAUGGGCGAAAGCCUGAUCCAGCAAUGCCGCGUGUGUGAUGAAGGCCUUCGGGUUGUAAAGCACUUUUGGCGGGAACGAAAAGGACUGUGCCAAUACCACGGUUCGAUGACGGUACCCGCAGAAUAAGCACCGGCUAACUACGU
rnacentral:rRNA from 1 species